rfam:Octadecabacter antarcticus 307, complete genome.
AUCCCUUGGUGAUGGGGUUACAUCACCACCUCCCUGUUGGACUUGCCCCGGCCUUUUGGUCGGGGUUUUUU